rnacentral:rRNA from 1 species
AGCUCCAGUAGCGUAUAUUAAAGUUGUUGCGGUUAAAAAGCUCGUAGUUGGGUUUCUGCCAAGGGCAUCUGGGCCGUCCUGUGGGCUGGUUACUGGCUUGGCUUUGGCAUCUUCUUGGGGACGGUGUCUGCACUUGAUUGUGUGGCGCGGAAUCCAGGUCUUUUACUUUGAGGAAAUUAGAGUGUUUCAAGCAGGCUUCUGCCCUGAAUACAUUAGCAUGGAAUAAUAGCAUAGGACCUCGGUUCAUUUUUGUUGGUUUCUUGAACUGAGGUAAUGAUUGACAGGGACAGUUGGGGGGCAUUCGUAUUUGACUGUCAGAGGUGAAAUUCUUGGAUUUG